AUUGAACGCUGGCGGCAGGCCUAACACAUGCAAGUCGAACGGUAACAGGAAGCAGCUUGCUGCUUUGCUGACGAGUGGCGGACGGGUGAGUAAUGUCUGGGAAACUGCCUGAUGGAGGGGGAUAACUACUGGAAACGGUAGCUAAUACCGCAUAACGUCGCAAGACCAAAGAGGGGGACCUUAGGGCCUCUUGCCAUCGGAUGUGCCCAGAUGGGAUUAGCUAGUAGGUGGGGUAACGGCUCACCUAGGCGACGAUCCCUAGCUGGUCUGAGAGGAUGACCAGCCAAACUGGAACUGAGACACGGUCCAGACUCCUACGGGAGGCAGCAGUGGGGAAUAUUGAAAAAUGGGCGCAAGCCGGAUGCAGCCAUGCCGCGUGUAUGAAGAAGGCAUUCGGGUUGUAAAGUACUUUCAGCGGGGAGGAAGGGAGUAAAGUUAAUACCUUUGCUCAUUGACGUUACCCGCAGAAGAAGCACCGGCUAACUCCGUG
rnacentral:rRNA from 1 species